GCCAGGCAUGGUGGCCCAUGCCUGUAAUCCCAGCAGCUCAGGAGGCUAAGGCAAGAGGAUGGGAUGUUCAAAGCCAGUUUGAGGCACUAAGCAACUCAGUGAGACCCUGUCUCUU
rnacentral:sRNA from 1 species